UUUUGAACUGCAUGGUUCGAAAUUGAAAGGCGGCUUCGGCUGUCACUUAUGGAUGGACCCGCGUCGCAUUAGCUAGUUGGUGAGGUAACGGCUCACCAAGGCAACGAUGCGUAGCCGACCUGAGAGGGUGAUCGGCCACACUGGGACUGAGACACGGCCCAGACUCCUACGGGAGGCAGCAGUAGGGAAUCUUCCGCAAUGGACGAAAGUCUGACGGAGCAACGCCGCGUGAGUGAUGAAGGCUUUCGGGUCGUAAAACUCUGUUGUUAGGGAAGAACAAGUGCUAGUUGAAUAAGCUGGCACCUUGACGGUACCUAACCAGAAAGCCACGGCUAACUACGUGCCAGCAGCCGCGGUAAUACGUAGGUGGCAAGCGUUAUCCGGAAUUAUUGGGCGUAAAGCGCGCGCAGGUGGUUUCUUAAGUCUGAUGUGAAAGCCCACGGCUCAACCGUGGAGGGUCAUUGGAAACUGGGAGACUUGAGUGCAGAAGAGGAAAGUGGAAUUCCAUGUGUAGCGGUGAAAUGCGUAGAGAUAUGGAGGAACACCAGUGGCGAAGGCGACUUUCUGGUCUGUAACUGACA
rnacentral:rRNA from 1 species